GUGAAAAUAUCAUCGUCAAUAUUUUUUUUUGAAAGGUGAAGUUCUCAACAGACGGAUGAUUCACGCCAGACGACUCGGCCCUGCCCCAUUCUGUCCCGAGGACUAUGUUGUCUUAACCGGGUCCACGCCUUAGUAGAAUAGGACAUUUGGCUUUCCCCGAGAAAAUUUCAGGCCCCCUACCACUUAACAGAAGUUGCACCCUCCACACGAGCCGCCGCCUGUCGAGACUGACCGACUCGCUGGAGUAAAUGCACCCUAGUAGAAAACUCGGGUUCCCUCAUGCUCGAACCGGAGUCCAAACCAUCAUUGGGUUGGGGAUAACCCCAAUGCCUCACAUUUGAUGAAGAUAUUUUGAAGGGGUAAAGUGUAAGUUGCAAGGGCUUCGAUUGCCGUCUUGAUACUGCGAGGUGCUAUGUGUAAAUGUUCCACAUCCAGAAUAUAAAAGGGAUCUUUCUCUCUCAUUCAAUCAUUCACUCCUCUUCAAAGUUGUUACAUUCACUCUGUUUAGAUCUAGGGUUUUCUGCAAAAGUGUUGCAGCUGUAUUCGUUGUUGUUGAUCUCUCUCCUUUGUUUUGAGAGAUUGUUCAUACGGUUUGAUAGAUGAUCAUCAUCUGUGGAUGAUCAUCAGAUUUGUUUUGUAUUUCUGUACUUGUUAGAUCUUACUAUUGUAAGAUCAUCUGGGUUUUGGGGGGUAACGUUUUGGUUUGGGUUAAAUAAGAGCUUUGUCACCGUUUUGUCGCUA